rnacentral:lncRNA from 1 species
UUGUAGGCAACUUUAUGUAGAUAUAUGCCUGCCAGAUAAUAUCACUCUUUCCUUCUCACACAUAUUCUAACUGGGCAGCAUGCCUCCAACUGUGUUCCACCCUGCAAGGCCUGGGCUCCCCAUGUUAAGAUUAGUUCUCUGAUUUGGCAGCUUAAAACAACACAAAUAUAUUAUCUUACAGUUCUGGAGGUUAGAGUUCCAGAAUGAAUUUCACUGGGCUAAAAUCAAGGUGCGGGUAGGGCUGGGGUUUUUUUUGUUGUUGUUGUUGUUGUUGGGUUUUUUUUUUUUUUUUUUUUUUUUUUUGAGGCUUUAGAAGAUAAUCCACUUAUUUGCCUCUUUCAGCUUCUGGAGGACCCUUCAUCGCUUGGCUUAUGGCCCUCUUCAUCCAUCUUCAAAGCCAGGAACAUUGCAUUUACUUGAACAUUCAUCUAUAGUCUCAUCUCCCUCUAGCCAUAGCCGAGAAAUGUUCUUCACUUUGAAGAAACCAUAUGGGUUGAAUUGUGGCCCCUCAAAAGCAAUUUAUACAGAUGAAGUCCCAACUCUGGCCAUGGCCAAUAUUAGUUGGAUAAUUCUUUGAAUCUGGCUAAUGUGGAAUCUUGCAAGGACAAAGAGGAUUUGCUCAUGAACUGGUAAGAGAGGUACUGGUCAUGCAUGCUUAAAUGUGCUAAUAGUUCUGGUCUUUAAUGGUACCGACUUAAUGAAGAUGAUGUUAUGCAUUUUUAAUUGUUCGCCUAUGAUUCGACAUUAGCCAUGCCUUUCUAAUAUGAAGAUUUGUUGGCCAGAACUGACAUUAGCUGAAAGUGGAUCCUUAACUUGUCAGUUCCUCCCACAUCUUCCUUGCCUUUGUUUUCCCUAGUGCCUUUCAACUGAAUUGAUGAGCCCUAUUUGCAGACCCAGAUCACCCCCUAACCCUUUCCUAAAUCAAUGUUUAAAAUGGCAGAAAAUAUAUCAACAACCUCAGACUAAUUUAACACGGCUUGAAACACUGAGCCGGGAGUGAGCUUUGUGCAUUCAUUACACCCCUGAAUUGCAGUGCUCCUCGCCCCCUUUCUAGGUUACUUUCGCUCUGUUCUCCCACUGUGCAGUUUGGUAAUUUGGCCUUGUUUCCCUCUAGGACUAACUCCCCAUGCAGAACCUUGCCUAACUCCUGCCAAACUUUUCUUCCUAGACUCUGCCCUAGCCCAU